AGUUCUCCCAGUUUACAACGGGGAAAGCCGCAGCCCAGAGGGCAGCUGUUGUUAAUUAGCGCUGGUGCACUUUUCUCCCCCAUCCCAUGCAGGCUCUGCCACACUGCUCCCUUUUAGGACUGAAUGUCCUACGAUCCCCACCGAAUGGAGAAGGACGCUAGAGGACUGGCCCCCGACCGCUCAGCCAGAAACAGGCUUUGAACCCUGCUGAACUCCGGUGGCACAGGCUGCGCGAGGCUUGCGUCUCCCCGGAAGGGCCGCUCCUCUCCGGUCAGCGAAAUCUCCUCCCCGCCCAGGAAUCUGGACAGCCCCUGCCAUUUGCCUGGGUGUUCCCCUACCCGAGUGCCCUCGAUUUUCCCCUCUGGCCCGGGCAGGAGCGGCAGGGCUGGAUGCCAGGGCCCCAGGGGCAGGGAGGUGAGUGGGCAAUGCUCCUUCCCCCGCGGGUAAGGCGGACACCCAGCCUCGGACCACAUCACAGACGCCCAGGGCCCCAGCCACAGCUGGGAUCACUCAGCUGGGUAAUGUCUCCACUUCCCGGCCGGGCCAGAGCUUUUCCAUCCUGCCAGGACUUUCAAGAAAACAGCUGUCUGGCUGAUGUUUUCACACACAGCCCUCAGAAGCCCCGUGAGGAAGGCGCUGUGGGCAGAAUGCUCAGAGAUGGGAAGUCGCUGCCCAAGGCCACACCACACAGCUGAGACCUAAACAGAGUGCUGAGACCUAAACGCUGGAUAUCUCCAGGGCUGUCCCAUUGAUAUCUUUCUUUUCUUUUUUUUUUUUUAAUUAUACUUUAAGUUCUAGGGUACAUGCGCACAACGUGCAGGUUUGUUACAUAUGUAUACAUGUGCCAUGUUGGUGUGCUGCACCCAUUAACUUGUCAUUUACAUUAGGUAUAUCUCCUAAUGCUUUCCCUCCCCCCUCCCCCCGAUAUCUUUCAAUAACAUGUGCACAGAGACAGCUGUCAGUGGGGACACUGCCUGGAUGCCGCCUGAACACUGCCUGGAUGGAGGACAGCUAGUUUGGCGUUCGCUUCAGAAUCAUCUGGGGGAGGGACAAUGGGAGUAUGGAGGAGAGAAGAUGGCUCCCAGGUGGAAGCUGGUGAUGGGCCCCAGGUGGGCACCCCAGGGCACCCUAGAGACAAAGUCUCGCUCUGUUGCCCAGGCUGGAGUGCAGUGGCGCGAUCUUGGCUCACUGCAACCUCUGCCUCCCAGGUUCAAGAGAUCUUCCCACCUCAGCCUCCCAUGUAGCUGGGACUACAGGUGCAUGCCACCAUGCCCAGCUAAUUUUUAUAUUUUUUAUAGAAACUAGGUUUCACCAUGUUGGCCAGGCUGGUCUCAAAAUCCCAAGCUCAAGUGAUCUGCCCACCUUGGCCUCCUAAAGUGCUGGGAUUACAGGCAUGAGCCCCGUGCCUGGCAGAGAGUUGUGUCUUGAUAAAAUGACCCUCAACGGUGCCCCGAGUGGAUUAAAAUCUCAAAGAACUCAGAAGUGAAAAGAAGAUGAUGUGCUUCGGAAAACAGAGUUAGAAGACUCAAGAAGUGGUUCUUGAUAAUGGCACCAAUGUUGAUGACACAGGUGAUGGAUGUGAGUAAAGGGACCCGAAUGUGAAGCGGAAGAAGCAUGUCUUCUAAAUUAAUGCAUUGCAUGAGGGUGAGUCAACCGCUGCACCAUCAACCCAGACAUUUACGAGAGGUGGCGCCAUGGGUUUCUUCUUUACACAAGUUCUAGUUGGGUGUGUGUGGGUGGUCUUCCACAUGGUGACUCAGGGCCCAGGCCCUUUCCUUGUGGGGGAUUCACCAUCACCUAGGCUCCAGUGUCUGGGGAGGAUUCCUGGCAUCCAGCCAGAAGAUGGGGAAGACUUGGGAAGGCUGGGUGUGGGGAGUUUCCAAGGCCCACCAUUAUGUCCCAAUCUCAUUGCACAGUCUCUGUCAUGUGAUUGUCCUGACUGCCAGGGAGGCUGGGAAAUGGAGACAACCUGUACUGUCAGGAGUAAGAGGAAGCAAUUUGAUGAACAACUGGCAUGUCUCUAUCCCAUACCCUGUCUUAUCUCACUUUUGAUUUCAAAAUGCAUUUCUAAUUUAAUCAAUGAAUUAUAUUUUAUAAGCACUCUUGUGACUUUUCCAUCCACAAUCAAAACAUUUACAUCUUCAAGAUGGAUAAAAAGCAUUUUAGAGGAUCCAGCUGGACAUUUCCCUGUAUUUACGGUUCCCUUGUAUGUAAGGCACAAGUGUUAGUUCUUGGUUUGGAAAGAUGUUUGCAUUAGAUUCAGUGAAAAAAGCAAGUUAAAGAGCUCACACCUACAGAGUUCCUACUGUCGCCCACACAUCAACAACUCGGGAGGUGAGUGGCUUGGCUGGAGGGUUCAGCGUGGGACCCCCACAGUGUGGCUUCAGCAUUUAUUGCCUCCUGUGACCACACGGGAGGUAAAAGAUGAUUUUUCUGUGAAAAAAAAUGUGUAUAUGCAUGGAAAAAUAUGUAUAAGGAAACACCCCAAAAUAUUAAUAGUGACAAUUCCUUGAGAAUAGAAGGGGAAAAUUUUAGCAAAAUAUUAGUAAACAUUUUAUUGCCCAUACAUACUGAAAAGUGCACCAAUUGUGAACGUCCAGCUUGAUGAAUUUUCACAAAUGAAAUUCCCAUGUCUAAUCAGCACCCGAUUAAGCCAUAGAACAUUCCAGACCCCCUUCCAGGCCCUCCCUCCUCUCCCAAGGGUGGCCAGCCCAGCUCCGAAUGCCCCAGGCUAGUUUCCAAGGUUGUGGCCUCUGAGUCAUCAUAAACGGAGUCUCCCAGGGUCUGGCCUCUUGCACACAGACUUGUGCUGUGAGAGUCAUCCUUGCUGUGUGUGCACGAAGCUGUUCAUUUCCUUGCUGUAUAGUGGAGCAGAGGCGAUUUCAACUUUCCUGUAUGAUGAUUUAUAUUUCUCAUUAAUCUACAGUGAAUAUAUGUUGCUUGCAUAAGAAAAGAAAUUUUCAAAAAUCAAAUGGAGAAAAAAAACAAGUUGAUUUUCCAACAACAAAAACCCAGCGCUGUCCUGGGACCUCUGGUCCAGGAAAAGCUGCAAAACAUACCAUUUCUGGCCUCGGCCGGCCUGUCUGUCUGUCGGCAGCGUCACCGCAGGCGGCUCCUCUCGGGUCCCAUGAUCCAACUCCAGCAGGCAGAUGAGGCCUGGAGCCAGGCGGGAGGCAGCCCAGCUCCAGCUAAAUAUACGUGUGGGAGGCUCCUCCCGGCCUGUGGGUCCUUCCUGGCCCUUUUCUUUCCCACUAAAGCCGGAGGUUCGGGAGAACAAAGGCAGCUCCCCUGAAAGAGCCAAGGCCAGGCGGGAGGUGCCCUGGAGAGUGGCCGAGCCCGAGAGCCGGGGCAGGGCUGCCUCAGACCAGAGAGCCGGCCCUGCCAGCCAUCGGCCGUGGAAGAAGGCGUGCAGCUUACGCAGACCUCGGGUGAUUUUGGAGCAAAGCUCCCAGCACUUAGCUGACACGGAAAGGCCUCUGCAGCCUGGAGGACAUGUGGGGUUCCCCCUCUCCUCCGAGGCCAGGCUGCGGGCAGGCGUUCUAGAGCCUCCCGGUCUCCCACACCACCCACGCCCCGUGAGCUUGCAGGAGCCGCCUGUCUCCUGGAGUCCUUCCUCCGGACUGUGGCAUGAGCACACGCGCUAGAUACACGCUGGCCUUCUUGCCUUCCUAGCAUGGGAAGGAGCUAGAACCCAGGGAAAGAUGGCGGGCCAGAGCGUCCCUCUGCCGCGUGGCUCAGGGGAAAAAGCUCUGCUCACAUCUCCAGGAUCUGCCUUGGAGGCUCAGGAGGAGGUGGGUGCGGAGCCAGCCAGAGGGCUUUGCAUCCCAGCCCCACUGGCCACCACCUGUGUGGCCAUAGGAAAACCACUUUGCCUCUAGAGCCUCAGGUCCCUCAUCUGUAAAAUGGGGAUGAUUGUAGGACCCGAAUUAUAGGGUCGUGAGAAUUAAGUGGGUUAAAAAAAAAUAAAACUCUUAGAACA